GAUUCCUUCGGGAUGACGGUUUGGUGACUGAGUGGCGGACGGGUGAGUAACGCGUGGGGAACCUGCCCCAUACCGGGGGAUAACAGCCGGAAACGGCUGCUAAUACCGCAUAAGCGCACAGUACCGCAUGGUACGGUGUGAAAAACUCCGGUGGUAUGGGAUGGACCCGCGUCUGAUUAGCCAGUUGGCGGGGUAACGGCCCACCAAAGCGACGAUCAGUAGCCGGCCUGAGAGGGCGACCGGCCACAUUGGGACUGAGACACGGCCCAGACUCCUACGGGAGGCAGCAGUGGGGAAUAUUGCACAAUGGGGGAAACCCUGAUGCAGCGACGCCGCGUGAGUGAGGAAGUAUUUCGGUAUGUAAAGCUCUAUCAGCAGGGAAGAAGAAAUGACGGUACCUGACUAAGAAGCCCCGGCUAACUACGUGCCAGCAGCCGCGGUAAUACGUAGGGGGCAAGCGUUAUCCGGAUUUACUGGGUGUAAAGGGAGCGCAGGCGGCAUGAUAAGUCUGAUGUGAAAACCCAAGGCUCAACCAUGGGACUGCAUUGGAAACUGUCGUGCUGGAGUGUCGGAGAGGUAAGCGGAAUUCCUAGUGUAGCGGUGAAAUGCGUAGAUAUUAGGAGGAACACCAGUGGCGAAGGCGGCUUA
rnacentral:rRNA from 1 species